GGGCACUUAGCUCAGCGGUAGAGCGCUUCGUUCACAUCGAAGAGGUCACAGGUUCGAUCCCUGUAGUGCCCACCA
rnacentral:tRNA from 3 species